AACGAACGCUGGCGGCAGGCCUAACACAUGCAAGUCGAACGCCCUAGCAAUAGGGAGUGGCAGACGGGUGAGUAACACGUGGGAACCUUCCCUAUAGUACGGAAUAGCUCAGGGGAAACUUGAAGUAAUACCGUAUACGCCCGAGAGGGGAAGAUUUAUCGCUAUAGGAUGGGCCCGCGUCGGAUUAGCUAGUUGGUGAGGUAAUGGCUCACCAAGGCGACGAUCCGUAGCUGGUUUGAGAGAACGACCAGCCACACUGGGACUGAGACACGGCCCAGACUCCUACGGGAGGCAGCAGUGGGGAAUAUUGGACAAUGGGCGCAAGCCUGAUCCAGCCAUGCCGCGUGAGUGAUGAAGGCCUUAGGGUUGUAAAGCUCUUUUAGCAGGGAAGAUAAUGACUGUACCUGCAGAAUAAGCUCCGGCUAACUUCGUGCCAGCAGCCGCGGUAAGAGUCACGU
rnacentral:rRNA from 1 species